UACGUAGGGGGCAAGCGUUGUCCGGAUUUAUUGGGCGUAAAGAGCGUGUAGGCGGCUAUACAGGUCCGCUGUGAAAACUCGAGGCUCAACCUCGAGACGUCGGUGGAAACCGUAUGGCUAGAGUCCGGAAGAGGAGAGUGGAAUUCCCGGUGUAGCGGUGAAAUGCGCAGAUAUCAGGAAGAACACCCGUGGUGAAGGCGGCUCUCUGGGACGGUACUGACGCUGAGACGCGAAAGCGUGGGGAGCGAACAGG
rnacentral:rRNA from 1 species